UACGUAGGGUGCAAGCGUUAAUCGGAAUUACUGGGCGUAAAGCGUACGCAGGCGGCUUUGCAAGACAGGUGUGAAAAUCCCCCGGGCCUAACCUGGGGAACUGCAUUUGUGACUGCAUGGCUAGAGUUUGUCAGAGGGGGGUGGAAUUCCACGUGUAGCAGUGAAAUGCGUAGAUAUGUGGAGGAACACCGAUGGCGAAGGCAGCCCCCUGGGAUGUGACUGACGCUCAUGUACGAAAGCGUGGGAGCAAACAGG
rnacentral:rRNA from 1 species